CGGUAGAUGCACCCUGAUAGAAAUCCCCGGUCAAAUGACCGGGGAUUUUUUUG
rnacentral:sRNA from 1 species